GACGAACGCUGUCGGCGUGCUUAACACAUGCAAGUCGAACGGAAAGGCCCUGCUUUUGUGGGGUGCUCGAGUGGCGAACGGGUGAGUAACACGUGAGUAACCUGCCCUUGACUUUGGGAUAACUUCAGGAAACUGGGGCUAAUACCGGAUAGGAGCUCCUGCUGCAUGGUGGGGGUUGGAAAGUUUCGGCGGUUGGGGAUGGACUCGCGGCUUAUCAGCUUGUUGGUGGGGUAGUGGCUUACCAAGGCUUUGACGGGUAGCCGGCCUGAGAGGGUGACCGGCCACAUUGGGACUGAGAUACGGCCCAGACUCCUACGGGAGGCAGCAGUGGGGAAUAUUGCACAAUGGGCGGAAGCCUGAUGCAGCAACGCCGCGUGCGGGAUGACGGCCUUCGGGUUGUAAACCGCUUUCGCCUGUGACGAAGCGUGAGUGACGGUAAUGGGUAAAGAAGCACCGGCUAACUACGUGCCAGCAGCCGCGGUGAUACGUAGGGUGCGAGCGUUGUCCGGAUUUAUUGGGCGUAAAGGGCUCGUAGGUGGUUGAUCGCGUCGGAAGUGUAAUCUUGGGGCUUAACCCUGAGCGUGCUUUCGAUACGGGUUGACUUGAGGAAGGUAGGGGAGAAUGGAAUUCCUGGUGGAGCGGUGGAAUGCGCAGAUAUCAGGAGGAACACCAGUGGCGAAGGCGGUUCUCUGGGCCUUUCCUGACGCUGAGGAGCGAAAGCGUGGGGAGCGAACAGGCUUAGAUACCCUGGUAGUCCACGCUGUAAACGGUGGGUACUAGGUGUGGGGUCCAUUCCACGGGUUCCGUGCCGUAGCUAACGCUUUAAGUACCCCGCCUGGGGAGUACGGCCGCAAGGCUAAAACUCAAAGGAAUUGACGGGGCCCCGCACAAGCGGCGGAGCAUGCGGAUUAAUUCGAUGCAACGCGUAGAACCUUACCUGGGUUUGACAUGGAUCGGGAGUGCUCAGAGAUGGGUGUGCCUCUUUUGGGGUCGGUUCACAGGUGGUGCAUGGCUGUCGUCAGCUCGUGUCGUGAGAUGUUGGGUUAAGUCCCGCAACGAGCGCAACCCUUGUUCACUGUUGCCAGCACGUUAUGGUGGGGACUCAGUGGAGACCGCCGGGGUCAACUCGGAGGAAGGUGGGGAUGACGUCAAGUCAUCAUGCCCCUUAUGUCCAGGGCUUCACGCAUGCUACAAUGGCUGGUACAGAGAGUGGCGAGCCUGUGAGGGUGAGCGAAUCUCGGAAAGUCGGUCUCAGUUCGGAUUGGGGUCUGCAACUCGACCUCAUGAAGUCGGAGUCGCUAGUAAUCGCAGAUCAGCAACGCUGCGGUGAAUACGUCCCCGGGGCU
rnacentral:rRNA from 1 species